rnacentral:rRNA from 1 species
ACCUGCCCAUUGGAAUCUAAAAGGCCGCGGUAUUAUGACCGUGCUAAGGUAGCAUAAUCAUUAGUCUUUUAAUUGAAGGCUGGUAUGAAUGGUUGGACAAGAAAUAAGCUGUCUUAAAUAAAAAUAUUGAAUUUAACUUUUAAGUGAAAAGGCUUAAAUUUUCUAAGGGGACGAUAAGACCCUAUAAAACUUUAUAUUUUAAAAUAAUAAUUAAUUUUUAUAUAGAAGAUUUAUUUUUAAAUAUUUUAUUGGGGUGAUAAAGAUAAAAUGUGAGAUAACUGUCUUUUUUUUUUUACAAUUAAUAUUUGAGUAAAAGAUCUUAACAAAGGAAAUAAGAGAUUAAGUUACUUUAGGGAUAACAGCGUAAUUUUCUUUAAGAGUUCUUAUCGACAAGAAAGUUUGCGACCUCGAUGUUGAAUUAAAAGUUCUUUAUAGAGUAGAUAUUAUAAUAGAGGGUCUGUUCGACCCUUAAAAUUUUACGUG